rnacentral:rRNA from 1 species
AGGAAUAUUGCACAAUGGGCGCAAGCCUGAUGCAGCGACGCCGCGUGUGGGAUGAAGGGGCUACGCCUCGUAAACCACUGUAGCCCGGGACGAAAAACGCCUUAGAGGCGUUAGACGGUACCGGGAAAGUAAGGGUCGGCUAACUACGUGCCAGCAGCCGCGGUAAUACGUAGGACCCAAGCGUUGUCCGGAUUUACUGGGCGUAAAGCGCGUGCAGGCGGUUUGGUAAGUUGGAUGUGAAAGCUCCCGGCUCAACUGGGAGAGGUCGUACAAAACUACCAGACUUGAGGGCGGUAGAGGGAAGUGGAAUUCCGUGUGUAGUGGUGAAAUGCGUAGAUAUACGGAGGAACACCAGUGGCGAAAGCGGCUUCCUGGACCGAUCCUGACGCUCAGACGCGAAAGCUAGGGGAGCAAACG